ACAGGCAUAACCACUGCACCCUGCCUUUUUUAAAUUUUAUUUUAUUUUAUUUUAUAAUUCUUUGGAAUUUUCUACAUAGAGUCAGGACAUCUGCAGAUAAAAAGUUGUCUUUAUUCCCUUCCAAUCAGUAUAUCCUUUAAUUUUCUUUGUUCUAUUAUUGUACUAGCUAAGACUUCCAGUACAAUGUUCAAUAGGAGUGGUGAGAGAGGACGUCCUUACCUUGUUCCCAGUCUUAGGGGAAGAGUGUCUAGUUUCUGACUAUUAAGUAUGAUGUUAGUUGUAGGUAUUUGGUAGAUCUUCUUUAUCAAAUUGAGGACGUUUAUCUCUCUUCCUAGGUUGCUAAGAGUUUUUAUCAUGAAGAGGUGGUGUACAAACAACAUUUUAACAAAAAUAAAAGAAAAAUAUAGAAAUCCUACUGCCUUAAUAAAUCACGUGGUUUUCUGUAUUUUCAAUUUUUUCUAUUUAAAAUAAAUAUACUCAAAAGUGACAUAUCUAACAGGGAGCAAUUAUACAAUUAUAAUUAGGUACCCAUAGGUAGACAUAAUAUUACAUAUUUGGUAAUUAGAAUGUAGGUUUAAUUUGACAAUUACUUUUUCACUUAAAGUUAUAUCACAGGCCAUUUCUUAAUGUUCCUGCACAGACUUCAAAAUCAGUUUUUGGUGUCUCCAAAUUCACUUUCCAUAAUUCAUUAACUAAUUCUUUUGAAAGCAUUUUUUGCACAUCCAAAACACACAAGUCCUAACAAUAGAGAUUUUAAAAAGGACAAAGGACAAAGCUGGUUUCUCACAAUUGUGGAAACAAAUGCAUGAUAAUAAAGUAUGUUUAUGUUAUCUUUGUAGAAAUAUGAACAGAGUUUUGGGAGCUUGGAAGAUGAAUGGGGGAAUCUAACUCUCUGGAGAAAUUAGAAAAGUCUUCCUGAAGGAAGUGACAUUUGAUGUGACUCUUGAAGGAGAGGAAAUUUUCCAUGUGAAUAAAUAGUAAUAUGUACAAAAGUUUAAAGUUGUGCAAGAGCCUAAAAUGUUCUGGGAAAAAUUUAAUAACUUAGAAAUUUGAGAUUAAAUGAGGAGAACAUUGGAUUAAGAUUAAAAGAUACGGGCCGGGCGCGAUUGUGAAAUGUGCUAAAUUUCAAAAUAAGAAAUUUUAUUUUCUGGAAUGAAGAGAAGUCAUUAAGCAGUAGAGAGGCAGGAUCUACUUUGUAUUUAUCAGAAUACCCGUGGAGUGGUGUGGGAGAUAAACUUUGCAUGUUGAGAUACUAUAACUUACUAAACCAUUCUUCUAUUUUGGGAACAUUUAACAUUGUUUCUAAUUAAUUGCUAUUUAAGUAAUAUAAAAACAUAUCUUUAUGCAUUUGACUUUAUAUUAUUUUGCAAUUUUUCUUAGGACAACAUUUUGGGAGUGAGAUACAUAUAUCUUAUUGAACUCUUUUUGAGAUAAGUGUUGAUGUAUUUUAUUAGUUUUGUUAUGCAUUUUGUGAACUUACAUCUAAUUUUAUAUAUCCCUUUCUCAAUACAAUUUGAUAUGCAUCCAAUAAACUUUUAUUGAGUGCUA